rnacentral:rRNA from 1 species
GGCGUAAAGCGCACGCAGUGCGGUCUGUCAAGUCGGAUGUGAAAUCCCCGGGCUCAACCUGGGAACUGCAUUCGAAACUGGCAGGCUAGAGUCUUGUAGAGGGGGGUAGAAUUCCAGGUGUAGCGGUGAAAUGCGUAGAGAUCUGGAGGAAUACCGGUGGCGAAGGCGGCCCCCUGGACAAAGACUGACGCUCAGGUGCGAAAGCGUGGGGAGCAAACAGGAUUAGAUACCCUGGUAGUCCACGCCGUAAACGAUGUCGACUUGGAGGUUGUGCCCUUGAGGCGUGGCUUCCGGAGCUAACGCGUUAAGUCGACCGCCUGGGGAGUACGGCCGCAAGGUUAAAACUCAAAUGAAUUGACGGGGGCCCGCACAAGCGGUGGAGCAUGUGGUUUAAUUCGAUGCAACGCGAAGAACCUUACCUACUCUUGACAUCCAGAGAACUUUGCAGAGAUGCAUUGGUGCCUUCGGGAACUCUGAGACAGGUGCUGCAUGGCUGUCGUCAGCUCGUGUUGUGAAAUGUUGGGUUAAGUCCCGCAACGAGCGCAACCCUUAUCCUUUGUUGCCAGCGGUUAGGCCGGGAACUCAUAGGAGACUGCCAGUGAUAAACUGGAGGA